rnacentral:rRNA from 1 species
UGAACGCUAGCGGCAGGCCUAACACAUGCAAGUCGAACGGUAACAGGGAGAAGCUUGCUUUUCCGCUGACGAGUGGCGCACGGGUGCGUAACGCGUAUACAAUCUACCUCUUACAGGGGGAUAGCCUUUAGAAAUGGAGAUUAAUACCCCAUGGUAAGUGAUCGUGGCAUCACGAUCACUUUAAAGUUUCGGCGGUAGGAGAUGAGUAUGCGUUCUAUUAGCUGGUAGGUGUGGUAACGGCACACCUAGGCGACGAUAGAUAGGGGCCCUGAGAGGGGGAUCCCCCACACUGGUACUGAGACACGGACCAGACUCCUACGGGAGGCAGCAGUGAGGAAUAUUGGACAAUGGGCGAGAGCCUGAUCCAGCCAUGCCGCGUGCAGGAAGACUGCCCUAUGGGUUGUAAACUGCUUUUGUACGGGAAGAAACCCCCCUACGCGUAGGGGGCUGACGGUACCGUAAGAAUAAGGAUCGGCUAACUCC